GGGGAUGUAGCUCAGCGGGGAGAGCGCCUGCUUUGCAAGCAGGAGGUCGGCGGUUCGAGCCCGCUCAUCUCCACCA
rnacentral:tRNA from 1 species